GGAGGGGUUCCCGAGUGGCCAAAGGGAGCAGACUGUAAAUCUGUUGGCACCGCCUUCGGUGGUUCGAAUCCACCCCCCUCCACCA
rnacentral:tRNA from 1 species